UUAGAAAGUACAAGUAUGAUGCAUAGGAUGGCUUGCUCUAACGUAUUUGAUCUGAUUUCAGAACUCAUGUGAUCCUUGACCGCUGAUCCCUUAAUCAAUCUCCUGAAUUAGACGAGACCGCUGCCAUACUCACGUUGGUGCCAUUGGCUUUCACCCUCGCUUAACAACCGUAUAAUAGUCGUUAUUGGGGGAAACGAUGAUGGAGUUCUGGUGAUUGGUUGUGAUUGUACCUGCUGAAAUAAGUGGUGGUUACUUGGUGAUUAGAGAUGGUGAAAGCAAGUUAAACAUCGGGUCAAAGCCGGAUUCAACAUGGUCAAACAUCUUCAAAAUCAGUCAACGCUAAUCACUCCCGAAAGAGGGUUGAAGCAGAGCGAAAAACGACAGUGCUUUCACUCGAUGGAUGUAAUAAGAAUGUUGUUGUGGCGUUAAUUAGCAUGCAUGAUUACGGUUUUGAGGCCAAAAUUAAAUUGAAUCUAGAGACAAUUUGUGUGGAAACACCUAAAGAAUCUGUUGCUAAAACUCCUGUAGAGAGAAAGAAACAGUAAAAGCAAAAGAACCAUCUGCAAAGAAGUCAAAGAAAGAAAGGGAUCCAAGUAAACCUAAAAGGCCACCAACUGCAUUCUUUUUUUCAUGGAGGACAUUAGGAAAACAUUUAAGGAAGCAAAUCUAGACAAUAAGAAAGUUGCAUUGGUUGCUAAGGAGGGUGGUGGAAAAAUGGAAGUCAAUAACUGAUG
rnacentral:lncRNA from 1 species